rnacentral:rRNA from 1 species
GGAAGUAAAAGUCGUAACAAGGUUUCCGUAGGUGAACCUGCGGAAGGAUCAUUACCGAGUGAGGGCCCUCUGGGUCCAACCUCCCACCCGUGUUUAUUUUACCUUGUUGCUUCGGCGGGCCCGCCUUUACUGGCCGCCGGGGGGCUCACGCCCCCGGGCCCGCGCCCGCCGAAGACACCCUCGAACUCUGUCUGAAGAUUGAAGUCUGAGUGAAAAUAUAAAUUAUUUAAAACUUUCAACAACGGAUCUCUUGGUUCCGGCAUCGAUGAAGAACGCAGCGAAAUGCGAUACGUAAUGUGAAUUGCAAAUUCAGUGAAUCAUCGAGUCUUUGAACGCACAUUGCGCCCCCUGGUAUUCCGGGGGGCAUGCCUGUCCGAGCGUCAUUGCUGCCCUCAAGCCCGGCUUGUGUGUUGGGCCCCGUCCUCCGAUUCCGGGGGACGGGCCCGAAAGGCAGCGGCGGCACCGCGUCCGGUCCUCGAGCGUAUGGGGCUUUGUCACCCGCUCUGUAGGCCCGGCCGGCGCUUGCCGAUCAACCCAAAUUUUUAUCCAGGUUGACCUCGGAUCAGGUAGGGAUACCCGCUGAACUUAAGCAU